GACGAACGCUGGCGGCGUGCUUAACACAUGCAAGUCGAACGCUGAAGCUUGGUGCUUGCACUGGGUGGAUGAGGGGCGAACGGGUGAGUAAUACGUGAGUAACCUGCCCUUGACUCUGGGAUAAGCCUGGGAAACUGGGUCUAAUACUGGAUACGACAUGCCACUGCAUGGUGGUGUGUGGAAAGGGUUUUACUGGUUUUGGAUGGGCUCACGGCCUAUCAGCUUGUUGGUGGGGUAAUGGCCUACCAAGGCGACGACGGGUAGCCGGCCUGAGAGGGUGACCGGCCACACUGGGACUGAGACACGGCCCAGACUCCUACGGGAGGCAGCAGUGGGGAAUAUUGCACAAUGGGCGGAAGCCUGAUGCAGCGACGCCGCGUGAGGGAUGACGGCCUUCGGGUUGUAAACCUCUUUCAGCACGGAAGAAGCGAGAGUGACGGUACGUGCAGAAGAAGCGCCGGCUAACUACGUG
rnacentral:rRNA from 1 species